GCCGUCUUCGCAUAGUGGACGAUUGCACCUGACUUGUAAUCAGGUUCCGUAAGGACACGUUGGUUCGAAUCCAACAGGCGGCU
rnacentral:tRNA from 1 species